GUUGUCUUCUUUGUGAGGUCAAAGACCAGGUGGAUGAAAAUAAAGAUUGGUGUUUAUCUCUGGGAGGAUCAGAGCCGAUUCAGUCUCAUUAAAGCUGCUGCAGGCUCACCUGUGUGGCUUUGCUGGUGCCUUAGGGGAAAGCUCAGCAGGGGCUCACUUCUUCAUGAUAGAGAAGAAAGCCGUGGAUGAGCCAGCAUAUUUAAUUGGUAUAAAGGGAAAUCCCUUUUCUUUUAUAUGGGUGGCUAAGGGAGCUGACUGGAAGGAGAACCUCCCCCCCUUAGAAUGAGUUACCUUAAAUACUAUUCUCCAUACCUUUCCAGAUUUAUGCUUUUCCAAGUCAACUAGCAGAGACAUAUAUCACAUUAUCUUUGGAGUGACAGAACCAGUUGGAUGAAAAUCCAGCUACUAGUCCCAAUUGCAGCAGAUCCCUUGAAUCAGUGAGUUCACACUUAUGUGUGAAACAAAGUUUGUGUACAUUGAACCAUCAAAGGUGUCACUAUCUCAGCUAUCCAUGUGGACAAUUUUGGAGUAUUCAGGAUUCUGGAAAAAAAGAUGCUCAACCUGUAGUGUACAGGUUUGCAGGUGGGGAAACAAGUCUCAGAGUAAAUGGCAUUAGAAGAGGAGGAAGAAAUUUUAUAUGAAGAAAUUGGAAAGCUUGGAUGCCUAUUACCACCCAUCCUCAACUGGCACCUGGGCUACCUGGCUUGUACUUCUGAAAAAUCAUCACAUUCAAAACCCUGGAAGAGACUAUAGAGAGAGAUAUGGGGUGCAUAUUCUUGGGACUCAGGGUCUAGAAAAUUGUGUUUGUGUGUACACAUAUACAUGUUUUAAAUUGAAAAGCUGAGGUACUUAAUGCAUAAUGCUCAAUGAUAUUGUCUGGGAAAGUUGCAGGAUUUGACCUGGAAACCGUAGGAACUGAGAUGAUUCUGAACUGACACAUCUCUGAUUCUUCUGAUUCCAGAGAAAUCUCUCUACCACCAGGCUCCACCAUAAGAAGGAGAAUCACCAUGCAAAUAGAAAAUAAAUAAGAGAGGAAUGUGAGUCUCUGUAUGAGUCCAAGUGGAAUUAAGAUUGUAACACAGUAUGACCCCUGUAUCCAUGGGGGAUACAUUCCCUGUCUUCACACAGAUAUGCAAAAUCGCAGAUGAUGACAAACCCCAUUGAAAUGAAGGAGUUCUGGCCCAAGAAUAUCAUAGUCAAAUUGAAGGACCUAGAAAAUGGCUAGAGAGGACAUAUGUUGUUGAACAUGGAUAAAGGAAACUGUAGUAACCAGAAUGUGGGCUGUCCUGUAUAUAAAGAAAGAAGGAGAAAGGGAUCAAUGGAAGAUAAAAGGGAGCCCCACACAAUUCUUAAUUAUUACAGAUUGAGACUCCACACUCUCACCACAUUUUUUAUUUAACUUCAUAUCAAAAUACAGGACUUUGCAAAGUUUGUGAUUCCUCGGAAAUUCCAAAUCUGUCCUCAGAGUGAGAAAAUAUGUUUCCAAACUAGUAACACAAUUGUGCACAAACCAGCAUUGUUACCAUCUUAUUUACUAUCACAAUUGGCAGUUUUUAUUAUUGUACAUUUAUUAUUAGAUUCAUUUUUUCUUCUUAGAAAAAUAUGGAAUUUUCUCAUGAUUUUCUUAGUAUUCCUUCAUAUUAUCUACACAUUUUACUACAACCCGAAUAAACCAUUUUAGCAUGCCUAAGUUUUUACCUUGUCCUUCAGAAACGGAUAAAUUUAUGAAUCCAUUGAGCCCU